GAGACCCUAGUAAUAAAACUUACAUUGUCUUGUCAAGACAGAAUUGCAGGUUUAAAUCCUGCGGGUCUCA
rnacentral:tRNA from 1 species